rnacentral:lncRNA from 1 species
CGGGCCGAGAGCCCAGCCCGCCGGGAGCCGCCAGCCCCGGCGGCUUGGGCCCUGAGCGCCCUUGGGGGAGGGCAGCCAUCGAAGCACUGACCGUGAAGGAGGAGGAAAAAAGCUUAAAAUACAGGAAAGAAGAAUGGAGGACAUAGCAGGUAAUAUCUGCUCUUGAAAUCAAAACUUUUAAAAGCAAGAUAUGAUUAUACUUAAUAUUCAUUCCUUGUUACUAAGAUUUGGAAAAC